rnacentral:rRNA from 1 species
UACGGGGGGAGCAAGCGUUGUUCGGAUUUACUGGGCGUAAAGGGCGCGUAGGCGGCCACCGCAAGUCGGUUGUGAAAUCUCCGGGCUUAACCCGGAAAGGUCAAUCGAUACUGCGGGGCUAGAGUGCAGGAGGGGCAACUGGAAUUCUCGGUGUAGCGGUGAAAUGCGUAGAUAUCGAGAGGAACACCUGCGGCGAAGGCGGGUUGCUGGGCUGACACUGACGCUGAAGCGCGAAAGCUAGGGGAGCGAACGGG